AAACCCCAAUUAGUUUAGGGUUUUCAUCUUCAUCGUUACCUCAGAAAAACUUCUCCAAAUUCUAGCAAUCCGAUUCGAAUUUCGCAUACAAUAUCACGAAAACAGCACCGUUUUGGAUCCAUGUGUUGAUUUGCAGAUUCGAAAAUGAAACGGGCUUAUACUAUGAAGGGGAAGAAGCGAAAGAACAAGGAAGUGUCAGGGAAGUACAAUCGUGAAAAAGAUGAAGAAGAACAAGUCCAAUCAAAGAAACCAGCGAUUCAGAGAAGAACCAACGUCGGUAGUUACAAAAACUGAGGAAAGUAGUGAACUUGCAGGUGCAGUGCAGGGCAGACUCACUUUCAAUUGUCUUCAACACUAACCUCUUCAUCCUCUAAACCACUCAUGUUCCCAGGUCUGAAGCUUGAAUGGAUGUGGUUGAAAGUUGUUAUGAUGCUGAUCUGAGGUGUUGUGAAUUUGUGAUGAUGAAGGAAAUGGAAGCUACCGUUGUUGACAGCGGCAAUGGAACCGAGACUGGACAUAUCAUUGUGACUACUAUUGGUGGUAGAAAUGGUCAGCCAAAGCAGACUAUAAGCUAUAUGGCAGAGCGUGUUAUAGGACAUGGAUCAUUUGGAGUUGUCUUCCAGUUGUUUUCUAGGUCAAUGAAAUGAGAGAUAGACCUUCAUGCAGAGUUUCUCAAUGUUGAGAAUGUACUUGGCUUACACGAGGCUCUUCGGAGAUAAGUAGUAGCUUUGAUGAAUGUAGAAGGAAUCAAUAGGGAACUUGUUGCAAGCCAUCUCCACAUUACAUUUUCUUUAAUAUUGUUAUUUACAAAUCUGUUGUUGCUAAAGCAGCUGUAUGUUUGGAUGGACCAUUGCCUGCUUAUCAUUUCAACCGUGGAUUCGGAUCGGGAGCAAACAGCUGGCUUGUUAAUUUAGAGGGAGGUGCGUGGAUCAUCAAAUUUCAUGGAGAAGGCGAUUCCUUUUAUGGGAAUAAUGAGCAAUAAUGCUCAAGAGAAUCCAGAUUUUUCAUCAUAUAAGUUUCCUACAAAAUGGCUGGCCAUCAAUCUCACUCAGAAUUAUGAUUAUUGUUGUGGUGGUUU